rnacentral:rRNA from 1 species
CUGUAUACCACAUUGAAAACACCGGUUCUCGUCCGAUCACCGAAAUUAAGCAACGUCGGGCCCGGUCAGUACUUGGGAGGGUGACCACCAGGGAAAACCGGGUGCUGUAGGCU